rnacentral:lncRNA from 1 species
CCUCAUUCAAAAGCAAGUCACUUGACUGUCUCUGCAGGACUUGCAGAGAGAAUGACUCGAAACUAAUCUGCCUUGAUACCUCCUAUCACCUCCAGGCUAUGUAAGAAUGAGCUAAGGACCAAGAGGUCCAGAGGAAGUCAGAGUGUUGGGACAUCCCCCACCCACAGGGGAGAUGAAAGCUUUUCAAAGAUUACAAAGAGGUCUGUUCUGACAGCAUAGGGAGUGAGCCUGACUUCCAGUGGAUAAGAGUGUGUGUUUCCCAUGGGACAGACAGGUGAGGACUCUGGGUUAUCCUGGAGCAAGAGCCGCUGGAAGCCAGGGCUUGACAGGAGUCAUUGGUGGCCACUGAGGAGAUAUUGUCCAUAACAGGGAGCUGCAGUUGGAGGUCUGCAGUUGGGAAUAUGCAACCCUGGAGAAGCCAAAGGCAGAGUCAGUGGGGAAGACGGGUAGAAGAUCAAGGUAGGGAGAAAUAAUGAAGGAAGUACCACAGUCCCUUUCCCUAUUGCUGAUCUCAAAACAUGAUUCACAGCAGAGCUUAGAAAGGGGGGAAGUUUUAGUUUGUGUAAAAGACUGAAGUUUGGGUAUAUGGUAUUGAAGUUUUAGAAUUUUGAACUAAUGGAAAAGUUCUGGAAUUUGCCUGAGGUCCAUCCAGUGCCAUAGAAGGAAGAUUAAAGAGAGCCAUUUUACCAGAGGAUGGUGAAAAAUACAGUGGCAUUCUGUUUACACACUACUUAGUUCAGGUUCUCUCUGCCAGAGGAGACUCUUCUUCUAAGGGACAUUUAUUUUUUUUACAUGGUAGUCACUCCAGAUAGGCAGAUUGUCACACUAGUAGGGAAAAAUGCCCCAUGUAUUUUCAUACCUUAGUCUCUUCAUUAGUUCCUUCCUCCCUGGGUUGUUUCCUUAUAACAUUUGCCGUCUAAAGUGUAUCAUGAUUUUUCCUCAACUCUGCAGUGCUUAUAUUAUUUUCCCCACAUUAAACAUUUGGAAUUAACCAUUCCCUUACCUUCCCACUUCCACUUUUUC